rnacentral:lncRNA from 1 species
GAGAUUUCUUCUUGUCUGCCUACUUUGAAGAGUUGCUGGUAGGGAUAGAUUUAUAAUAUUUAAAGCACUUAUCACAUGGAGGAUGCUUGAUAGAUUAUAGGAAUUAUUAGUAUUUCUUGAUGAACAUUCUACAUCUUUCACUGAUUCAUCAAAUAUUAUUCCUGUGUGCCAGUGCUCUAAGGAAAUCCAGUGAAGAAUACACUGCUGUUUUCUGUCCAAGUGUGGAGGCAACUGAUUUGAAAUGCUUCACGUGGGACAGGCAGAGAGAGACCAGGAGUUCGAGGCAUGUAACAGCAAACUUGGAAGUUGCAUAGUGAGACGGCAUCCUCACAAGAUGGCUGAGUCAUGGGUGAAGGGGAGUCUCUGCCAGUCUCCAUCAGUCUCUAUGGGAGCAGUAAGUAAGUGUUUUUUUUUUUUUUUUUUUUGCUGUACCACAUAGAUUUCAGGGUUGAUUUGCUACCAUAGCAUAGCCAAUCCUAUC